rnacentral:rRNA from 1 species
CCGGACACACUGAGGAUUGACAGGAUUAUAUACGUUGCGCGUCUAUUGUUAAAUAUGCUAGUCCUUUCAUGAUUAUGUGAUAGGUGGUGCAUGGCCGUUCUUAGUUCGUGGAGUGAUCUGUCUGCUUAAUUGCGUUUCAGAUAAGAUCUAUAUUCUUUACAGAAGUGUUGCGUAGUGCAUUUGACCCCUCGUCGCGAGUGCGUGUCUUUUCGCGCUCGCACGCUUUUUACAUUAGGUCCUGAAAGCAACGAACGUGACCGCAACCUCUUGUUGCCUCAUCUCCCUACUUUUUAGCACUUCGGUGUUAAAUAAUUUCAUUGAGGCUUUCCAAAACUAGAGGGACCGCUGUCAACUUCUUAAACCAGAGGAAGGUUGCGGCAAUAACAGGUCUGUGA